rnacentral:tRNA from 1 species
GUCAGGAUGGCCGAGCAGUCUAAGGCGCUGCGUUCAGGCCCCAGAGACGUGGGUUCGAAAUCCCACUCCUGACA